rnacentral:lncRNA from 1 species
GCCCCGAGUGCCCGCCUCGCUCCGCGGCCGCGAUGCCGCCGUCUGGGAUCAACGCCACGCAAUCCUAGGAGCAGAGGUAAAGACUAAGCGUGCCUUUUGCAAUCAAUUUGGCGGAAUUGGUUUGGUUUACCAGAAGUUGCAUGGAUGUGGAUGCAGUCUCACCUUUUGUUAGUUCUACAUAAGAUGUUUGUUUGUCAUGGCAAAAAACAAAAUGUAGACGGCAAUAGUAUCUUAUCUGAUGCAUACAACAAAUGUAGAUGGUAUUUUUCCUGCUUUUUUCUCUGAUUAGGAGUACAGUGUAAUGUCAUAACUAGGAUUUUGUUUGAGUUGGGCUAUUUUAUAUGUUCUGUUCUCAGGUGUACGUCUUUUUAUGAUAUGAUAUCUGCAGCUUCCAUACAUGUUGCUAUGAACUAGACACAGAUGAGGGCUCCAACACUACUGUACAAUCAUAUGAUAUCUGCAAUUUUUAGCUGCUGCGGGAUUUAUCCCCACAAUUGUGGCUGGGAAGACAACGAGUUUAUUUGAUUGAUUUUACAAGGAAAGAAUAAUGUAAAUCUCUUUAUCCAUCAGUAGUGCCAGCAGCUCACUAUAUUAGUGUACCCAAAAUCCCAAAUCUAAUUUCCCAGAUUCCACUAGAUGGAUGGCAACGCUUUGGUCCAUGUUAUGAGAGAAAUUGUUCAGGUCUGUGUAAUGUUACUGACAAGCACUGCAUGGACUGGAUGUAAAGUAUACUCCACUACAUGCUGAUGGCAAGAUGGACCUUUUUUUUCUUUUGAAAAGGAAGCUGGAGCACUGCUCAUUCAUUUAAGGAGGAAGCAAGCAUAGUUUUGCAGAUUUUCAUUACAUGGGAAGCUAAAAGAGCUCCAACCUGAUGAUUUGGAUGUGGAUUCAUUACCAUAGUUUUGGAAGCUGUUACUUUAUACUCCAGUGGGAGCUCAUAGUAUAAGUUUAUAGGAAAUGAAGUUUCUGUUCAGAUACAAAAAGUAGUGAACAGGACUUCCCUCUAAAAUGAACGGAACAUCCCAUCUUUCAUCUUUGUUGGGUUCAUUGUUUUCUCUUGUUAUCAAGACUCUCUUUACUGGCUUGCUUUACAGUUUUCUAAAUACUUUUGUAGCUACCAGAGACAGAAUCAUUUUAUUUGAUGUGUCUUAAGAACCAAAAGUUUUGCUCUCGAUCCACCAUAAUUCCGAAGUCUUACUCCUUUGGCUUAAAAAAAAUACUUUGAACUUUUAUUAUGAGAUGUGGAGCCAUCAGUUGCUGAAAUAAUUGAUAAACCACAGCGAUUAAUUUAUGUGACAGCCUCCGCUUCUGAUGUAAGUGAACAAGCAAUGAGAACAGCAGAACUCAAUGGAGGGACAAACUACUUUCCUCAAAUAGCUGCUUUAAUCCACAAGUUCAUUUUGUCUACCAAUUUGUUUCUCAUUUCCAUACACAUGAAAAUUAUGUUGGGACUUGGGUAACCAGAAAGAAAAAAUCGUUUGUGUAGAUUUCUCAAUUCAGACAAAACAAAACUGAACUUAGUUGGAUGCUCUCGUGCCAGUACAGUUGUUUAUAUAGACACUUCUGUAUAUCUGAUGCCAAUCUCAUUUCCAGAUAACAUGAAGCUAUAACAUUUUGGGUGCAUUGUUCUUGCCCUCCUGUCUUCAACCUGCCAUCGAGAUAGCAGUGACUUAUCCAGACGGAAGCAACUUCAUUGGCUGAGAUCAACAUGUGGACACGCUCUACAGAACCACCUCUGUGGUUCAGUUUACAGCCGAUUGCCUCGAGACCCAAGAGACCACCGAGUUUGUCAUAUAUUGGAGACUCCAAGCUGAGAGAUCACAGGGAUAGUGAUGGAAGGUGAUUGCUGAUACAAAUCUCAAGAGUAAAAGCGCAGAGUGCUAAUAUUUUUGCUGCUGGUUCCUGUAAGUUCACCCUGGAUCUCCGUUUCCUAACUUCAACCAAGCUCAUAAAUGAUUUCCAUUUGACAAAUGCUAGUUUGUUGUCUGCAAUUUUGCAUUAGUCAAUACAAUAUUGGCUUGCUUAUAGUUUGCAUUAGCCGAAUAGCUUGGUUAGCCUAGCGCUGCUUGAUUGUAUAUGCUGCACCCAAUCGCCCACCUUUUGUAGAGGUGCUGAUUCCUGGGGCCUUGCAGGAGUUGGAGGAAGAUACCUUGCACAGAGCUCUACGAUGAUCUCCACCAUGCACAUACAUCAUUUGACGGAUGGGGCUACUGGG